AUGCAGCAGGUCGCAGCACCCCAUCCGUCGUCAGGUCGUUCGUCUCCACGCCUGCCGACAGGGCAUGGGCAGCAGGGGUAUGGUGCAGAUCGGCAUCCAAAAAGCAACAUAGGAUUAUUGCGCCACUUGAAGUAUGUGAGUUUUUCUAAUCCUGAAGGAUAUUCAUAUAUUUAUAAACUUCCUAGAUCCAUAGGAAAAUUACAAGGCUUGCGUACUUUGAACAUAAGAAACAGUCAUAUUACAGCACUACCUAUUGUGAUUAGUAAACUCAAGAGUCUAUGCAGUCUCCGUUGUACCAAAAUUAGGAGCUGCAGAUGGUUUGACUUGGAUGAACCUAAGGAAUGCUUGGUGCAGACACUUUGUCUGCCCAUACUGUUCACACCUUUGGUUGAUCCUUGUGAGCGCACCAAGGUAGUUGCCGAGAUACACAUGUCCUGGUCUAGCCGUUGGUCCGUGUCAAGAGGUGUUAGGGUGCCAAAAGGAAUUGGCAACCUAAAAGAGCUGCAAAUACUAGAGGUUGUGGACAUCAGACGAACCAGUGGCAAAGCAAUUAAAGAGAUAGGUGAGCUUGUGCAGCUGAGAAAACUGAGCAUGGAAGCCAUGGAUACAGAAUGGGCCACCAAGCAGAAAUGCAAGGUACUGUGUGAUGCCAUUCAGAAGCUCACUUGCCUUCGCUCUCUUGAUGUGGUUGGUGCACUCGAGUGGAUGCAUGUUGUUUCCUCUCCUCCUCCCCUGUUGAGGAGUCUGAAGUUGACUGGAUGCCUUGGAGAGAUUCCUGGCUGGGUUGGCAAUCUGAUGCAUUUAGUCAAGCUUUACUUAUGGGGCAGCGAGAUAAAGGAAGAAGGUAAAAUCAUGGAAAUACUAGGGCCACUACCCAACCUCAUGGAUCUUCGUCUUGGAAGCGGCUCUUAUAUUGGGGAGAAGUUGGCGUUUAAAACGGGGGCAUUCCCAAAUCUCAAGAUGGUUGGUAUUUGUAAUCUGGCGGGACUGAGUGAGUUGAAAUUUGAGGAUGGCACCUCACCACAGCUGGCAAUGAUAGAUAUCAGUUAUUGCGAUUUGGCAUCAGGAAUUAUUGGAGCCAACCAGCUUCCAAAGCUCAAGGAGAUCUCACUUGGUCUGCGUGGUCGAGUGGCGAAGCUUGCUAUGCUACAAAGUGAAGUGGAUGCACAUACCAACAGUCCCGUGCUGCGACUGGAGAGGGACCGGAGCCAUCACGACAUGGGGGGUGUGGUCGUCCAAGUGGAAGAAGCAAUGGAGGAAUCGUCAUCUCCCCAUGCUGAGCCUGAAGCAGCGGUAGCGACGACAAACCUCAGCCAAGAUGACCUGCUCUACACUUACAAUUCAUGCUGA
rnacentral:rRNA from 1 species